AGUUUCUUCAGCCAUUUCUAAUCAUAAAGAAGCAACCCUAGGUAUCAAUGUCAAAACCAAGAAUAGCAUAAUCCAUAACUCAACACUAUAAAGACUCAAAUGACUAUUUACUCCUUUUGCAAAAAGAAGAGUAAGCAUGAACCACAAAACAAGGUAAGACCAUAGACCCUUCAUCAAUUAGCAGCCUAAAAGGGGUAUGUAAUGGAAGCUUCACAGUUCACUCAUGCAAUAUUUUCCUAGCAAACAUUCAAGUAUAUGGGUCUCACAAGCUCUAAAGCAAGUCCACUAACAACCACAUGAAAAUAAAAGCCAUUUCAAAUUUGUUAAAUUAACCAUGGCCAAACUAAACCCAUAAUUUAAGAAAAAAUUAAAAAAAAUAAAAAGAAUUAGAAGAAUAAAAGAAACAUUUUUACAAACAACACCUUAGAAGCAAAAUCCAAUUUGCUGCACAUUAAAACAAGCAACUUCAAAGUCCAAAAUCCAAAUAGUAUCACAGCCAGAAUAUAACUGAAGAAAAGGAAACCUUAAAGGGAAGGGUCUACAAUUCCAUGGCAAUGGAGCAUAGUAAGCAUUUCAGCAAAAGUAAAGCUGAAAUAAAAUCAAAAUAACCAUUGCCUAGUAAUAUAACAUAGUUAACAUCAGACAACUAACCCUCAAAAGCUCUCAAGCAUUUGCUGGCUGAGUGAUUUUAAUUAUCAAACUAGCAACCUCACUUUCCAACAUCAACAGUACAUUAAGCAAAUAGUACACAACGUAUCCAUAAAUAUUCUCAAACAAUAGCCAUAUCAAACAGAUACUUUCAGAAAAUAACCAAAUAAUUGAUAACAGCCAUGCAGAAUUUCACCAAAUUAUUGAAAAAACAGAAGAACGAUUCAUCGAACAAGGAUUAAACGAGAAAUGAAUAUAAAAGAGCAGAAUCAAAGUACA
rnacentral:misc_RNA from 1 species